rnacentral:rRNA from 1 species
GACGAACGCUGGCGGCGUGCUUAACACAUGCAAGUCGAACGGAAAGGCCCUGCUUUUGUGGGGUGCUCGAGUGGCGAACGGGUGAGUAACACGUGAGUAACCUGCCCUUGACUUUGGGAUAACUUCAGGAAACUGGGGCUAAUACCGGAUAGGAGCUCCUGCCGCAUGGUGGGGGUUGGAAAGUUUCGGCGGUUGGGGAUGGACUCGCGGCUUAUGAGCUUGAUGGUGGGGUAGUGGCUUACCAAGGCUUUGACGGGUAGCCGGCCUGAGAGGGUGACCGGCCACAUGGGGACUGAGAUACGGAGCAGACUCCUACGGGAGGCAGCAGGGGGGAAUAUGGCAGAAUGGGCGGAAGCCUGAUGCAGCAACGCCGCGUGCGGGAUGACGGCCUUCGGGUUGUAAACCGCUUUCGCCUGUGACGAAGCGUGAGUGACGGUAAUGGGUAAAGAAGCACCGGCUAACUACGUG